GUGGUUUCUCUUUCAAGAGAACUUCGAGAGAGAGAAUAAAGAGAGGACUGUUGAGAGAGCGACUGAUUAACGCUGCUGUAACAAAACUUCACCACAUCAACGAUCUGUUUGUGCGUAGUGCUCGCUGUACAAGUCCCUGAGUAUAACGUGCCACAGCUUCAUUUCUCCAUCCCAUCCAGCACUGAAGUACCGUUAGGCUUCUGCCCUCUUUAAAGCCGUAAGAUUCUCGCCGGUGUAAGACGACAGAUUGUGGAUCAAAUACACGAUAAUGUCUGUGAAUGUUCGAGAGUCGAGUCAAAACCAUCGAUCACCAGUUUCCUAGUGGGUAACGAUGGACGCCCCGAACUGAAAAGCGCUCUAUUGUGUUAUUUUUG
ensembl:lncRNA